UACGUAGGGUGCGAGCGUUAAUCGGAAUUACUGGGCGUAAAGCGUGCGCAGGCGGUUUUUCAAGUCUGAUGUGAAAGCCCCGGGCUUAACCUGGGAACUGCGUUUGAAACUGAAAGACUAGAGUGCGGCAGAGGGGGGUAGAAUUCCACGUGUAGCAGUGAAAUGCGUAGAUAUCAGGAGGAACACCAAUGGCGAAGGCAGGUCUCUGGGCCAUUACUGACGCUGAGGAGCGAAAGCGUGGGGAGCGAACAGG
rnacentral:rRNA from 1 species